AUUGAACGCUGGCGGCAGGCCUAACACAUGCAAGUCGAACGAGUGGCGGACGGGUGAGUAAUGUCUGGGAAACUGCCUGAUGGAGGGGGAUAACUACUGGAAACGGUAGCUAAUACCGCAUACCAUCGGAUGUGCCCAGAUGGGAUUAGCUAGUAGGUGGGGUAAAGGCUCACCUAGGCGACGAUCCCUAGCUGGUCUGAGAGGAUGACCAGCCACACUGGAACUGAAACCCGGUCCAGACUCCUACGGGAGGACGCAGUGGGGAAUUUUGGAAAAGGGGGGGAAGCCCGAUGCCGCCCUGCCGGGUGGUGGAAGAAGGCCUUCGGGUUGGAAAGUACUUUCAGCGGGGAGGCGUUACCCGCAGAAGAAGCACCGGCUAACUCCGUGCCAGCAGCCGCGGUAAUAC
rnacentral:rRNA from 1 species